AACCAGCAUAAAAUUUUCCCUAACCGGAGCCGAACCGCCCAGUGCAAAUUAUGCCUAACAUUAGGCUCACGUUAGCCAAAACAUAACUAACAAAGGGUCGAGCUCGAAAAUAUGUCUAACAAAAGUGUGUCAUAUUAGCCUGAAUUUUGUCGAACCUGAGCCUAACGUGAGGGAUUUUGUUAGCCUAACUGUCUCACGGGUUUGUCUUACAUUAGUCUCAUGUGACCCUAACGUUUCUUGCUGGGGCAGAAACGCGUAGAGAAACGCGAGAAGUAGUUUUGAAUAUAUUAAACCAACAAAAUGCAACUGAAAUUAUGUUGUGGUCAAUGUUACUGAUAAGGUUGUCAGGUCAGAUGUUUGUUGACAGGAAAACACUUAUUGGAUUUCGGAGUGAAUUGUUUGAAGAUAAAAAUACUUUUUUGUUUGAAAAACGAUUGUUUGAAGAAAAAAAAAACAUUGUGAAACGUUGUAAUUAAUCGACAUUUACCCGACAAAGAUGUCGAUGUUUAAAAUUGCCGGACUACGACGCCCUUAAGAAUCAUUGUCAUUGUUUCGAUUUCCGAGCUAACCAUGAGGAUUUCUAGUCUUAUACGGCUUGAUUCUACUGAGCAGUUACUGAAAAUUCCCGGCAGUUGAUCUAAUGCGGACAGCGGAAGGGCUUCAUUGUGCUGAAUCUAGAGGAGAAAACCAAAUACCGUCAAACGGGGUUACUUGCAACAGCGGUGUAACUUGCAACACGAUGACAUACAUUAAAUGUGAACUAUUUUCUCAUAAUAAUGAAAGCUAGUAUGCUCCACUAUUCCGGUUAUCAAAAUUACCAAAGAUAGUACCAAAGAUCGUUUUAGUGGAAAAAUCAGUUUUGUUUCUUUGUUUAUUGCUUAGCUACACUGUUAAAACGGUUUGCUAAUUUUAUGUCAUAUAAACAAGUAUGAAAAUCGUUCUUUACCUCUCUCCUAUGGUAAGUGUGAUAAGCUUGAUGACCUUGCUUGCAGUUAGGGUACCUAAUAGUAAGCUUAGUUGAAAAAUAAAAGAUUGAUAAACUUAUCGACUAACUAAUGAAAAAAAUCAUUAUCAUUUUCGACAACCGCUAUGGGGUAACUUGCAACAGUUGAAAUUAACAAAUUUUUCUAUAAUUUACUUUCAGUUCACGAUACUUUAGAUAGAAAUAAUUAAAAUGGAUCAUUUAUUAACUACGUAACGUGCUCAUAUUCAAAUAUCGACUCAAUUUCACUAUUUUUUGCACGUGAUUUUCAAACAUAGUUAAGGACAUUCAAAUUUUGACAUUUGAGAUCUGCUGUGAAAAAAUAUACUCUCGCUCUUAUAAUAAUUACCAACUCUUUAAUGAAAAAUCGUAUUCCAGUUGAUUAAUGUACAUCUUUUCAAAGCAUUUUUCACAAACUUAUAAUACAACCAAGAAUUAGAAUGCUAGUGCAGUUUGAUGGUAGCUAACUUAGCUUCAUGUCAUGUGUUGCAAGUAACCCCACAAAUGGGGUAACUUGCAACAAGCAUGUAUUUCGCACCUCCUGAUAAAGUGGCAACGUAUUUUGGUAAUUGAUGUCCUGCAUAGUAUUCUACUCGUGGUAAUUAGUGUACAAGAUGGUUUAAAGUUUAGAUUUUCAAUGAUAUUGUUUCAAAGUCGAAAAGUGUUGCAAGUUACCCCAUUUGACGGUACUGCUCGUACCAAUUACGAGCAAAGUACGCAAAGUAUGAUCAGAUUGAAUUUUAGAGUAUAACUUUAAAUAUGUAUUACUAUUUGUUUAGAAUUAUUUGUAUUUCUGUGUGUUUAUAAAAAUAAAAUAAUAUGGAAUAAAACUGUUCCAUUCCAAAUAACAAUAUAGUACUGCAAAAAUACAACCACGCUGCAGUAAAUCUGAAAUAGUCAAAAUUACUAUCUUCUGUUGUAUAUUUAACUGAUGAAUAAUGCACUCAAUAGUAGAGACAACAACCUUUACAGCAAUUCAGAAAAUAGCAAAAAAAUACUAUAUUUCUUCUUAUCAGAGGCGUCUCGUGACCCGUAGAAGUGACUGUGCACUUGAAGAGUUUUCACAUGGGACUGUAGUGCAAAUGGAAAACAUCAGGAACCUGCGCUCCGCUCGACGAGCGAAUUUAUCAACGAUUUCGUCGAUAAAGCUGCUUUGUUAUUUCAAUUGAUGCAACAGGGGGUUUCUAUCGCCAUCUGUAUAAGCCUCUUCAGCCUUUGCUCACCCAUUGUAACCGAAGAUAGGUUCUUAUUCCUUUGUG